GAACGAACGCUGGCGGCAUGCCUAACACAUGCAAGUCGAACGAGACCUUCGGGUCUAGUGGCGCACGGGUGCGUAACGCGUGGGAACCUGCCCUUAGGUUCGGAAUAACUCCCCGAAAGGGGUGCUAAUGCCGGAUAAUGUCUUCGGACCAAAGAUUUAUCGCCUUUGGAUGGGCCCGCGUUGGAUUAGCUAGUUGGUAGGGUAAAAGCCUACCAAGGCGACGAUCCAUAGCUGGUCUGAGAGGAUGAUCAGCCACACUGGGACUGAGACACGGCCCAGACUCCUACGGGAGGCAGCAGUGGGGAAUAUUGGACAAUGGGCGAAAGCCUGAUCCAGCAAUGCCGCGUGAGUGAUGAAGGCCUUAGGGUUGUAAAGCUCUUUUACCCGGGAUGAUAAUGACAGUACCGGGAGAAUAAGCGCCGGCUAACUCCGUG
rnacentral:rRNA from 1 species